rnacentral:rRNA from 1 species
CUAUACAUGCAGUCGAGCGAACAGAUAAGGAGCUUGCUCCUUUGACGUUAGCGGCGGACGGGUGAGUAACACGUGGAUAACCUACCUAUAAGACUGGGAUAACUUCGGGAAACCGGAGCUAAUACCGGAUAAGAUUUUGAACCGCAUGGUUCAAUAGUGAAAGACGGCCUUGCUGUCACUUAUAGAUGGAUCCGCGCCGUAUUAGCUAGUUGGUAAGGUAACGGCUUACCAAGGCAACGAUACGUAGCCGACCUGAGAGGGUGAUCGGCCACACUGGAACUGAGACACGGUCCAGACUCCUACGGGAGGCAGCAGUAGGGAAUCUUCCGCAAUGGGCGAAAGCCUGACGGAGCAACGCCGCGUGAGUGAUGAAGGUCUUCGGAUCGUAAAACUCUGUUAUCAGGGAAGAACAAACGUGUAAGUAACUGUGCACGUCUUGACGGUACCUGAUCAGAAAGCCACGGCUAACUACGUGCCAGCAGCCGCGGUAAUACGUAGGUGGCAAGCGUUAUCCGGAAUUAUUGGGCGUAAAGCGCGCGUAGGCGGUUUUUUAAGUCUGAUGUGAAAGCCCACGGCUCAACCGUGGAGGGUCAUUGGAAACUGGAAAACUUGAGUGCAGAAGAGGAAAGUGGAAUUCCAUGUGUAGCGGUGAAAUGCGCAGAGAUAUGGAGGAACACCAGUGGCGAAGCGACUUUCUGGUCUGUAACUGACGCUGAUGUGCGAAAGCGUGGGGAUCAAACAGGAUUAGAU